CCGCGGUGCUGGACGAGCAGCAGGAGGACGCAGGCGCAGCCCUUCAUGGCCUCGGCCAACACCACGGCGGUGCUGGGAAGGAACCGCUCCCCGGGCAGCGUCCGCACGUAGCGGAUACUGAGCACCAGCGACGCGUUCUGCAGCACCAGCACACCCAGAGCGCCGAACUUCAGCCGCCGCGACGCCUUCGUGGCAGCCCCGGGGUCUCCUCCUCCGCCCCCCCCCACCGCCGCCGUCGCCGCCGCCAUGGUGGCAACCGCCGGGCAACGGCGCGGCACUUCCGCAUCGCGCGGCGCUUCC
rnacentral:lncRNA from 1 species